rnacentral:rRNA from 1 species
CAGUGAACGUCGACGUCUGAUAAACAAGUUAAUAAACUAAAACUUUCAACAACGGAUCUCUUGGUUCUGGCAUCGAUGAAGAACGCAGCGAAAUGCGAUAAGUAAUGUGAAUUGCAGAAUUCAGUGAAUCAUCGAAUCUUUGAACGCACAUUGCGCCC